CACUUCUCAAGUGCUUGAUACUCUAUGAUACAAAGUUGUGUAAGGUCAUUUGGUAACAGCAGGGCGAACUUGCUUUACGAGGGGAUCUGCAAAACAUAGAAGAAUGAGCAGGAAACUGGGGCAAAGUACGUUCUAAUGGACUGGAAUAACACUGUACCAAACCAAGAUAAAACUAAAAAGAGUAUGGCAUGGAGGAGAAAGUGUAUGCCCUACAGGAAGAUGAGUGGGACUGGUAUCAGGUCCUUAACCUAUCCCAACUAUUUAUUGACCAAUUCCAUGUCAGCAUCACUUACCUUUGAGAAGGAGGACUGCGCUAACCUGAUGUAUGGCUGCGCUAAUGCAGAUUCGGGUAGCGCGCUGUAGACAGGCUUCUGCGCUAAGACCAGUAUCUUAGGAGACAGAGGGCCGCACUAACCUGAAUAGUGCACAGAAGGAUGGCUGCGCUAAUGCCGAAUCGUGCUGAAAACAGGCUUCUGCGCUAAUGUCAGCACUAAAAGGACCACUCAAUGCAGUAGAAUUUCAUAAUUAACAAGUGCAUAAUAAAAAAACAAUGAUUUAA